UUCUCUGCCAUUUCCAAGAUCAUAAUGAAAGACCCCCAGAGCAGAGAAAACCUCACUCAAGUCUCGGGAUGAAGCGACCUCCCAAAAACUCACGUAAGACC
rnacentral:pre_miRNA from 14 species